GACGAACGCUGGCGGCGUGCUUAACACAUGCAAGUCGAGCGGAGCGGCGAACGGGUGAGUAACGCGUGAGUAACUGCCCCCCUCUCUGGGAUAACCGUUGGAAACGGCUGCUAAUACCUGCUAGUGGGGGAUGACUCGCGUCCUUUCGGCGUGUUGGUUGGGUAGUGGCCUACCAAGGCGACGACGGGGAGCCGGCCUGAGAGGGCGAACGGCCACAAUGGGCUGAGAUACGGCCCAAAAUCCUACGGGAGGGAGCAGGGGGGAAUAUGGCAAAAUGGGGGAAACCCUGAUGCAGCAACGGCGCGUGAGUGAAGAAGGGGUUCGGAUCGUAAAGCUCUGUUGUUAAGGGAGAAGGGAAAGUGCAUGCUGUGACGGUACUUAACCAGAAAGGGACGGCUAACUACGUGCCAGCAGCCGCGGUAAUAC
rnacentral:rRNA from 1 species